GACCGGCGCACGGGUGCUAACGCGUAUGCAAUCUACCUUUUACAGGGGGAUAGCCAGAGAAAUUUGGAUUAAUACCCCAUAGUAUAUAUGAAUGGCAUCAUUUAUAUAUUAAAGUCACAACGGUUAAAGAUGAGCAUGCGUCCCAUUAGUUAGUUGGUAAGGUAACGGCUUACCAAGACGAUGAUGGGUAGGGGUCCUGAGAGGGAGAUCCCCCACACUGGUACUGAGACACGGACCAGACUCCUACGGGAGGCAGCAGUGAGGAAUAUUGGACAAUGGGCGCAACGUCGAUCCAGCCAUGCCGCGUGCAGGAUGACGGUCCUAUGGAUUGUAAACUGCUUUUAUACGGGAAGAAACCCUCGAACGUGUUCGAGAUUGACGGUACCGUAGAAUAAGGAUCGGCUAACUCCGUGCCAGCAGCCGCGUAAUACGGAGGAUCCAAGCGUUAUCCGGAAUCAUUGGGUUUAAAGGGUCCGUAGCGGCCCGAUAAGUCAGUGGUGAAAUCUCCCGGCUCAACCGGAAAUUGCCAUUGAUACUGCAAGUCUUGAAUUAUUGGGAAGUAACUAGAAUAUGUAGUGUAGCGGUGAAAUGCUUAGAGAUUACAUGGAAUACCAAUUGCGAAGCAGGGUUACUAUCAAUAUAUUGACGCUGAUGGACGAAAGCGUGGGUAGCGAACAGGAUUAGAUACCCUGGUAGUCCACGCCGUAAACGAUGGAUACUAGCUGUUCGGUCGCAAGACUGAGUGGCUAAGCGAAAGUGAUAAGUAUCCCACCUGGGGAGUACGAACGCAAGUUGAAACUCAAGGAAUUGACGGGGGCCGCACAAGCGUGGGAGCAUGUGGUUAAUUCGAUGAUACGCGAGGACCUUACCAAGGCUUAAUGUAGAUUGACAGGUCCGGAACAGAUUUCCUUCGGGCAAUUACAAGGUGCUGCAUGGUUUCG
rnacentral:rRNA from 1 species